rnacentral:rRNA from 1 species
UACGUAGGGAGCAAGCGUUGUCCGGAAUUACUGGGCGUAAAGCGUGCGUAGGUGGUUCGUUGUGUCUGUGGUGAAAGCCCCGGGCUUAACCUGGGAAUGGCCAUGGAAACUGGCGAGCUGGAGUGUGGCAGAGGGGGGUGGAAUUCCGGGUGUAGCGGUGGAAUGCGUAGAUAUCAGGAAGAACACCGGUGGCGAAAGCGCUCUGCUAGGCCGCAACUGACACUGAGGGACGAAAGCUAGGGGAGCGAAUGGG